AUGGGCAGGAAGCAGUUCCAAUACAAUGUCAGUAGGAACGACUUCUUCACCUCCUUCAUGAGGUUCAUGUCCAAACAUGACACCGUCAGACACCCUGACCAGAAGACUGAGAAAAUCCAGCUAAAGAAUAUUAGAAAAUGUAGGCAAGAUCUGUGUGGCAUCAUUAGCAAAAUAUUAUUUCUAAAGAUAAAAAAAAGAACCGUAAAAGAAAGUUUUUAAAAAUUAUCAAGGCUGUUACAAAAUACUAUCCAAGAAAAUGAUGAAAUAAAGUGAUACUCAUGAGGACAGCCGAAGCUUUCACUACUUUAACUGAUGAACAGUCCUGAAAACAUAGAAAGAAUUUGACGACAUAGCAAGUACUUGAGCCAUAAACUUUAGCAGUGCUUUGAUAGUUUUGAAAGUCAAUAAGAAAGACACAAUUUUUAGUUUUUACUCAAUGCAUGUUGAAAUUUAUGGUUAUCUAUUCAGUUUUUCCAUGUUCUUGGUUAUAUCAAUGUGCUAAAGAGGAGACCAGAUCCUAAUGUCUAUAAGACAGAUUUGUGUAUUAUUUGUUCAUCGAAAUAAAAAUAUAAGUAUAUAAUAUUUUGCCCUUAAGUUUAGCUGAAUUUGAGCCCCAAUAUAACAACAAUCUACUUAGCAUACUAAGUGAUAAUAUUCUAAUACUACAGCUGAUCAGAGAUGAUUACCUUUCACAAUGAAGCCCCUUUUAGCUACCCAGUUUGAAGAAUAGAAUUCUAUGAUUAUCUCAUAUGGCUGGGAUUAAAAUCUUUAGAUGUUCAACAAUGUAUAUUAAGAUAAUAUCAUGGAGUACUUCAGUAAAAAAAAUUAUAUAAUCUCCCCAAAAAAUAAAAAUGAACCAAAGUUGAGAAGCAAAUCUUUUGUUUCAAACUUGGCAUCCUUAGAAACUUUAUGAAGCUUUCCUAUGAGAUUACUCAUGUAGCUUCAGCUCUUCAAUUGACAUUUUGCCAGUCACUGUUGUUGAAGAGGAUGGUUGAAAUGGAUUGUAGUAAUAAAUUAGGAUGUUGCAAGUAUACAGAAUUUAUAGAAAUCUAAACAAUCGUAUCAUCACAAUCUAUUGACUUUGAAGAUGAGAAAUAUGAAUAUGUAUAACUAUACUUGAGAAACUUUCUUAUGUGAUUGUAAACCAAAAAGUGCAAGUGGUAGAGAAAGAAGAUAGUAUCACAGAAGACUCCUCCAUGCAGAAUUGAUUAAAUUUUCAAGGCAGGCAAUGGCAGACGUUUGAGAAAGAUCAGCUUAUCUGCACUGCAGAGAAAUAACCAGAAUAAAAUAGGCAAGUUGAUACUGACAAGAACAGAUCAAAGAAGAGGUUGGAAAUAGAAUCCUAAGUAUCUAAGAAAACUGCUAAAUCAAAAAUAUAUAUAUAUAAGUGCUCAUGCCAUUGUUCCAGUGAAAUAGGAUCUACAGAAUCAGGCAGAUGGGGUUAUUGAGAGUGAAACUGCAGUAAACAAAGAUGAAGUAAAAGUGUCAGGCGAUGACACUGAUUUUGAUAAAGAAAAAAAAAAAAAAAGAAAAAACAGCAGAAAAAGAAGAGAGGUUCCCAAAAUAAAAAUGAUGAUGGUAGUAGCAGAGAUUUUGAUGAAAAAGAAAUCAAAGCUCGUGCAACACAGUGGCAAGAAGUACAUCAAAGUAUACAAGGGAAGAAGAGAGCUUUACUGAAAAUCAGAUCAUCUUAUUUAUAGUCUGUACUUUCCUGAGAACUAACCAGAAUGAUGGUAGCUAUAUAUUACAGUUACGAAGGAACAGAUUAAUAUCUAGGUGAUAUCGCAUGAAUAUCAAAUGUAUAAGGAAAAGAGAACUGGAGAUUUCUUCACCAGGUAAACCUGGAAAUUGUCAAUAUAGAAAAUCAAACACAGCGGGGGGAACAUAGGAUCACCUAGACCAGGACAAGAAUUAGCACUUUGAAGAUCACUUUAAGAAG
rnacentral:lncRNA from 1 species